GGGGCGGUGGCGAAAUGGCAGACGCAGCGGACUUAAAAUCCGCCGGGAUAACUCCCGUGUGGGUUCGACUCCCACCCGCCCUA
rnacentral:tRNA from 2 species